AAAACGGUCCUUUUCAGGACCACCAAAUUAUUUGCCAUAAGAACUCG
rfam:Anopheles merus strain MAF unplaced genomic scaffold supercont2.74, whole genome shotgun sequence.